GACGAACGCUGGCGGCGUGCUUAACACAUGCAAGUCGAACGGAAAGGCCCCUUUGGGGGUACUCGAGUGGCGAACGGGUGAGUAACACGUGAGUAACCUGCCCUUGACUUCGGGAUAACUUCAGGAAACUGGGGCUAAUACCGGAUAGGAAUCCUUGCUGCAUGGUGGGGGUUGGAAAGCUUCGGCGGUUUUGGAUGGACUCGCGGCUUAUCAGCUUGUUGGUGGGGUAGUGGCUUACCAAGGCUUUGACGGGUAGCCGGCCUGAGAGGGCGACCGGCCACAUUGGGACUGAGAUACGGCCCAGACUCCUACGGGAGGCAGCAGUGGGGAAUAUUGCACAAUGGGCGGGAGCCUGAUGCAGCAACGCCGCGGGCGGGAUGACGGCCUUCGGGUUGUAAACCGCUUUCAGCAGGGGCGAAGCUUGUGGUGACGGUACCUGCAGAAGAAGCACCGGCUAACUACGUG
rnacentral:rRNA from 1 species